GUGAGUGGAGAAGACCUAUGGCAACAGACAUCUGCCGGUAAGGGAGGAAUGUCUCGGAGUAUGAGUGAAGGAAAAGGCCCAAACCCACUCAACAAGGCACAGCCCGAGGGGCUGUUCUCCGUGGAUGUUUCAUCUUCCAGAGUUACUGCUACCCCAGGCUCUUCAUCCACUUCUGUCCUCCUAGUGUUUUCCGGUGUCCUCCAGUGUCCCUUUGUGGUAUGGGGAGACACAGAGGGCCUGUGCCUUCACUCCUCCUCCCUCCUGCUGCGUACCCUAACCUCAAGGUUAUGCCCAAGAAUUCUUCAUUCAUAGUAUUUUCUGUAAUAAGCAACCAACCAUUAUACUAUCCGCAUCCUAAUACAACAGCAUGUAGAUGCCCAGUGUAAGUGAAUGGGCAUCCAAUAUUCUUUUUUAUUAAAAAAUAACAUUUUCUGAAAAAGUGCUCAAAUGCUUGGAUAGAUAGAGAUUAAAAAUAAAUAAAUAAAUAAUAAUAAAAAUAACCUAAAAAUACCUAUCUACCUGUGUAUCUGUGAACUAGGCCUUAAUCAAUUCAAGAGACAUAAGUUGUGUUGGAUCACAGGAGUUUCUGUCUUCAUUGUUAAACAACCACCACUGCUAAUAAAAAUCUAUCCAUGCAACUCGGGCAGAAAUGUUCAUGUUCAAGUCUCUACCUAAAGUUAUAGCAGUAGGCAUCUAAAUGAAAUGCACUGUUGGCUUUUGUUGAAACUACAGGAUAAUGUAAAUGUCAAGGGGCAGAAGCGACUGCUUUCUGUAUUUUAAACUGUUAUGUGCUGUGUUUUUAUAUUGCAUGAGUUCUUUUAUUGCAUGGAUUUAUUAAUUGGUUUGUCUGUCAGUGCUUGAUGUCUGCUCUCCCCCUUCACUUGAUUCCUCGAUAACCUACUCCUCGAGAUCUGUGAGUAUGUUACAGGCACUGGCAACUACCAAUUGGGUUUAAGCAAACUCCUCAAAGGACCAAUGGCGUGGGCCGAUGCUUGAGCCCAAGCACCUGGCAGAAGAGUUUAAGACGAGGAGACUGGCACAGACAGACAAAGAAGAAAUGGAGGAAAGCGGAAAGCCAGAGGAAAAAGAGGGGAAAAGAAGUAGAAGCGUGACGAGACCUGCAGACCUGCAGACCUGCAGACGGCUGUGUACCGAGUGGAAAGAGAAGAAAAAGACGAUAACGCAGCCAGGAUGGUGGUGUACCCAGUUGUUUUAACACCUUUUCUGCUACAUGGGAUGGCAGGUUUUUAGGGACUUUUUAUAAAUCUGGAUUUUAAUAAUUCUUUGGGACUCUUUUAAUCUGGAUUUUUAUAU